ensembl:lncRNA
UCAACGCGAAGUCAAAAUACAAACUAUUUGUGAAAACGUUUCCUUCUUCUUGCUAAUUCCUCCUCAAAGUGGGUGCAACUUUUACGGUGGUACAGUCCUCGUGGGGUGGAUUUCACCCGGCGCCAGGGCAAAAUUGUCAAGCCCACUCCAGGCGUCCGCCCCCAUUCCGCCCUUCCCCCACUUUCUGCUCUGCCUUCUAGCCCAGACCGGGGCUUCCUUGUGUCUUUAAAUUUGGAAGGGGGUGAGCAGGGCCAGGAUCCGCAGAAGAAGAGAGCCCCAACCUCCCUCCACCCCUUCAAAUGGCCCAAAUUAAUGUGAUCGCGACGUGAGGGUGCACUUGGGAAGAUGAAAGCAGGGGCCGGCCGGCUCUCCUAGAGCUCUAUAAUUAUAGAUAAUAUAUCCCAUUUCAAAGCAAUUAGACCAAUCAGGCGUAACGAACCACUUUGCUGCCGACGAAUAACAAAGGCGCACGGUUAUUUAAGCCCGGAGAUGUCAGGCAGACCCCGAGGCUCCAGGGUCGACCAAACGUCUUCCAGCCCCGCUCUACCCACCCCCGGUGGAGGAAGGCUCGCCCUUCUCCCCUCCAGCUCUGCCCUGCGCAGCCCGCUGUGGGCCCCCUCUCAGUUCCGGCAGGGGGUUGGAGGGAAUGCGAGGGAGAGAACUGACAUAUUGAGUUGGGUGUCAGGCCCUUCGUCAGAGGUUUCGCAAACUUUUAUCUGUUUUAAUCCUCUCUACUCUGUACUCUGGGAGGAAAUGUCGAGGAUCUCAGGUCUCUCUGAGAAGAAAACAGACCCAGGACUUCGAGCCAGGUAACCAGCUGAGGGCGGAUGGCCCAUUUUUCUAAGCCUCUGUUUGUCGUCUUUGAAAUGGGCGAGGACCGGCAGGAGCACUGAUCUAGAGACUCCAGAAGGCAGGGAACCCCCGCCCAGGAGGCGCAGACCCACGGAGGUUUGGGGACGGUUCUUGAGUGGACACCGAGACGAAGAGAACCGAAGACCUCCCGGUGCCUCUGAGAGAUCCAGAUAUUGAGUGAAACUGAAGACAAGCUGGGGAUGCCGAGAAAGGCCAGAACUGAGGCUGGAAAAGAGGGACGUCCAGGGAGAGAGUUUUGCCCGGAAAAGCAGCCCCGUGCCCCAACUUCGCAGGGGCAGCUGUAGGAACUGUGCAGAGCUCGGGAGCCGCCUCUCUGCACCGAGGCGGCCGGUAGACAGCCGAAUGGGUGGGGGGAGUCUCAUGUUUUUCUAGGACUCAGGUUGGUCCCUGGCUUUCGGCGACAUUCCUUGCCUGUAUCCUUCUGUCUGUCUGUCUGCCUGCCUCUGAGUCUCUGCCUCUAACCGGGUCUCCCCUCCGAGUGCCUCUGUCUGUCUCUUCCGCUCUCUGCACUGUCUCUCCAGGCGCGUGGCUCAGUCCCUUUUCCCCUCCCUAUCUCUCAGUGGCUUUCUCUGGAAAUAUCUCUUGCCUUCCCCGCCCCUCAGCCCAAGUUUAAGUCUGAGUCACUGCUGUCAAGUCACUGAGAAGCUGCUGAGACUCCAGCACGUUCUUCCUGGAGGCAGUCUGCGAUAUCUGGAGCAGCCGGCGCACCUUCGCGAGAAGCUAUAAAGCGCCUGGUCGGCCCAGGCGGGGGAGGGAACUCCUGCCGGUGGCUUCUCGGCGUCUCCCCUUCCAGGUCUGGACCGUGCGCUGCGCAAUCCACUACCUUCCCCCAGGCCGCACUGAGGACUCAGGAGCAGUGGCCCAGGCCGCAGCAGGCUGGGCUGAGCUAGGAGCCAGCAAAGAGUGAUUCAUAUCCACUGUCCCAGAACACGAGUUUGGGAACUGAAGGGUGGGAGCGGGGCCAUGCAAAGGAUCCCGAGGAGCCGGAAAGGGUCACCGGGAACCCACCAGGGAGCCCAUCCGGGAGCCGCUGGAAGCAUCAGACAGCAUCUGUUUUUUGGAGGGACAGCUGGCUCAACGCAGGGCACCCAGGGCUGUACCCUAGCCCGUUCUCUUUUGGCCACUGGCUCCCAUUCUUAAGGGCUGAAAGAGUCACAGCCCGGGCCACCUGGAGUCUCCGCCCUCUUGCGCUUACCGCCCAGACCUCAGCCGGCCCAGGACAGGCAGCAGCAGGCCUAUGCCCUGUAACCUUGGGCCUGGCUUUCCUGCCCUUGAGCGAGACGGAGGGGUGUUCACCCUACCGGAGGGC